AUGAGGAUUUUAUUGAUUGGCACUAAUACAAAAUCCUAUAUAUUUUCUGUGCGGUCGGCAUAUUACAUUGAGUGGAACUAUUCUCAUAGGCAUAGACUAACUCAAGCAGAUGGCCAAGGACCGUCAGCAUGCAACCCAGUGUGGGAAAUUCUCUGGAAAUUGCACGUGCCAAGAAAAGUUAAGAUCUUCGGAUGGAAAGCCUUACAUGGCAUGGUUCCGGGGCUGGCGAUUCUUGCAAACAGACACAUCCCAACCUCGGCACAGUGUCCUGUUUGUGAGAAAGAUGCAGAGGAUAUUAAACAUCUCAUGUUCAUGUGUGACCGAGCAAGGAAAGUAUGGCAUUCAUUGGGUCUUCUAGACUACAUCAACGAGAUGACGCAAGUGGAUAGGUCAGGUUCUAUUAUUCUGGAAGAAAUAUUACGUAAACCACAAGUCAGAUCACCGGUAAUGAAUCAAGUGGGACUGAAGGAAUCAAUCCUUGUGGGAGCAUGGUACAUAUGGUGGCAGUGGAGGGAGUUUGUCAAGGGGGAAUAUGUGGCCGAUCCAACACGCACAGCCUUUUCAAUCCAAGCGCUGACAUGCAAUUUUGAUCGAGCUAAUAAAUCUGAACCUCGUCAAACUGUCUGGACAAAGCCAGAAAGGAACAACUACAAACUAAAUGUCGAUGCCGCGUUUUCAGAAAAUGGUACUGCUGGUGCAGGUGCUGUCUUGAGGAAUGACAGAGGUGACACUACAGGAAAAAACUUAUAA
rnacentral:rRNA from 1 species